UCUGAUUCUUGAAACUCAUGUAAAAGCAGG
rnacentral:piRNA from 1 species